AUUGAACGCUGGCGGCAGGCCUAACACAUGCAAGUCGAGCGAGCGGCGGACGGGUGAGUAAUGUCUGGGCAACUGCCUGAUGGAGGGGGAUAACUACUGGAAACGGUAGCUAAUACCGCAUACCAUCAGAUGUGCCGAGGUGGGAUUAGCUAGUAGGUGGGGUAACGGCUCACCUAGGCGACGAUCCCUAGCUGGUCGGAGAGGAUGACCAGCCCCAUGGGAACUGAGACACGGUCCAGACUCCGACGGGAGGCAGCAGUGGGGAAGAUUGCACAAUGGGCGCAAGCCUGAUGCAGCCAUGCCGCGUGUGUGAAGAAGGCCUUCGGGUUGUAAAGCACUUUCAGCGGGGAGGCGUUACCCGCAGAAGAAGCACCGGCUAACUCCGUGCCAGCCGCCGCGGUAAUAC
rnacentral:rRNA from 1 species